rnacentral:rRNA from 1 species
CCUACGGGAGGCAGCAGUGGGGAAUAUUGGACAAUGGGGGGAACCCUGAUCCAGCCAUGCCGCGUGUGUGAAGAAGGCCCUCGGGUUGUAAAGCACUUUCAGUGAGGAAGAACGCCUGGUGGUUAAUACCCAUCAGGAAAGACAUCACUCACAGAAGAAGCACCGGCUAACUCCGUGCCAGCAGCCGCGGUAAUACGGAGGGUGCGAGCGUUAAUCGGAAUUACUGGGCGUAAAGCGCGCGUAGGUGGCUUGAUAAGCCGGUUGUGAAAGCCCCGGGCUCAACCUGGGAACGGCAUCCGGAACUGUCAAGCUAGAGUGCAGGAGAGAAAGGUAGAAUUCCCGGUGUAGCGGUGAAAUGCGUAGAGAUCGGGAGGAAUACCAGUGGCGAAGGCGGCCUUCUGGACUGACACUGACACUGAGGUGCGAAAGCGUGGGUAGCAAACAGGAUUAGAUACCCCAGUAGUC